GCAUGGUUGGCACUUGGCACUUGGCGGUACCCUCUUUGAUCUUCUCGUAACCAAAACAAACCUUGAAAAGAAAAGGUGAUUUUCUCGUACUAAUGCAACGAUAACAGGCUGACGAUACUGAUAAGGUCACGGGAUUUGAAGAGGAGGAGUUACAAAAUGCAAGAGCUUCAGUAGUAACACUGACAACCACUGUGGAAAAUCUGGUUAGCAAUUUAUUUAUCAAACAUGUAUUCAUCUAACUGGACUUUUUUUUUUUUU
rnacentral:lncRNA from 1 species